rnacentral:antisense_RNA from 1 species
UUUCACCGAACCCAGCAGCAGUGGCUGGUCGGCCGGCCGGUCCUGCCCGUACGUCGCCAGCAGCGCCUGUGCCUC